rnacentral:rRNA from 1 species
AUUGAACGCUGGCGGCAUGCCUUACACAUGCAAGUCGAACGGUAACAGGUCUUCGGAUGCUGACGAGUGGCGAACGGGUGAGUAAUACAUCGGAACGUGCCCGAGAGUGGGGGAUAACGAGGCGAAAGCUUUGCUAAUACCGCAUACGAUCUCAGGAUGAAAGCAGGGGACCGCAAGGCCUUGCGCUCACGGAGCGGCCGAUGGCAGAUUAGGGAGUUGGUGGGAUAAAAGCUUACCAAGCCGACGAUCUGUAGCUGGUCUGAGAGGACGACCCGCCACACUUGGACUGAUACACGGCCUAGACUCCUACGGGAGGCAGCAGUAGGAAAUUUUGGACUAUGGGCGCAAGCCUGAUCAAGCCAUGCCGCGUGCAGGAUGAAGGCCUUCGGGUUGUAAACUGCUUUUGUACGGAACGAAAAGACUCUGGUUAAUACCUGGGGUCCAUGACGGUACCGUAAGAAUAAGCACCGGCUAACUACGUGCCAGCAGCCGCGGUAAGAC